UACGUAGGGGGCGAGCGUUGUCCGGAAUCAUUGGGCGUAAAGCGCGUGUAGGCGGCCCGGUAAGUCCGCUGUGAAAGUCCAGGGCUCAACCCUGGAAUGCCGGUGGAUACUGUCGGGCUCGAAUCCGGAAGAGGUGAGUGGAAUUCCUGGUGUAGCGGUGAAAUGCGCAGAUAUCAGGAGGAACACCAAUGGCGAAGGCAGCUCACUGGGACGGUAUUGACGCUGAGACGCGAAAGCGUGGGGAGCAAACAGG
rnacentral:rRNA from 1 species